rnacentral:rRNA from 1 species
UACGGUAGGGUGCAAGCGUUGUCCGGAAUUAUUGGGCGUAAAGAGCUCGUAGGCGGUUUGUCGCGUCUGCUGUGAAAACUCGGGGCUUAACUCCGGGCCUGCAGUGGGUACGGGCAGACUAGAGUGCGGUAGGGGAGACUGGAAUUCCUGGUGUAGCGGUGAAAUGCGCAGAUAUCAGGAGGAACACCGGUGGCGAAGGCGAGGUGCUGGACCCCAUCUGACGCUGAGGCGCGAAAGCCAGGGGAGCGAACGGG